GUGUCAGCAGCCGCGGUAAUACGGAGGAUGCGAGCGUUAUCCGGAUUUAUUGGGUUUAAAGGGUGCGUAGGCGGAUUGAUAAGUCAGUGGUGAAAUCCUGCAGCUUAACUGUAGCAUUGCCGUUGAUACUGUCAGUCUUGAGUAUGGUUAAGGUAGGCGGAAUGUGUAAUGUAGCGGUGAAAUGCUUAGAUAUUACACAGAACACCGAUUGCGAAGGCAGCUUACUGAACCAAAACUGACGCUGAGGCACGAAAGCGUGGGGAGCGAACAGGAUUAGAAACCCUCGUAGUCC
rnacentral:rRNA from 1 species